UUAUUAUUUAAAUUUUAGCUUGAAUAUAAGUAGUUAAGUUCUUCAUAACUCAAAGAAUUUGGCGGUUAAUUAAAUUUUUCAGAGGAACCUGUAUUUUAAUUGAUAAACCACGUUAGUUUAAACCUUAAUUUUAUUUGUAUAUCUCUAUGGUUUUGAGUGUUUUAAAAGAAUAUUUUCUUUUUGAUUUUUCUUUAAUUUUAGGUCAAGGUGCAGUUUUAUUAAGGUAAAUAUGGGUUACUUUAUUUUUUAAUUUUUAUAUUAAAAAUUUAUAUAUAAGGAUUUGAUAGUAAUUUAAUUUAAUUAAUUUUUUUGAAUUUUUUUUUAUUAAUGU
rnacentral:rRNA from 1 species